GACCUACGGGGCGCAGCAGUGGGGGAUAUUGCACAAUGGGGGGAACCCUGAUGCAGCGACGCCGCGUGGGUGAAGGAGCGUUUCGGCGCGUAAAGCCCUAUCGGCAGGGAAGAAGAUGACGGUACCUGACCAAGAAGCCCCGGCUAACUACGUGCCAGCAGCCGCGGUAAUACGUAGGGGGCAAGCGUUAUCCGGAUUUACUGGGUGUAAAGGGAGCGUAGACGGCGGUGCAAGCCAGAUGUGAAAGCCCGGGGCUCAACCCCGGGACUGCAUUUUGAACUGUGCUGC
rnacentral:rRNA from 1 species